rnacentral:sRNA from 1 species
AAGGGGUCGGCUGACCCCGUUGGUCAGCGUAAAAAAACCCCCGUAGAAGAUUCGAGCUGAGAACAAGUGAUGGCUGAAGGCACGAUCAAGCGGCUUACCGACAAGGGUUUUGGUUUCAUUAGCGUCGAUGGACAGAAGGAUCUGUUCUUUCACCACUCCGCCGUUGAGGGCAUCGCUUACGAUGACCUCCGCGAAGGUCAGAUGGUGACUUACAACGCCGGCGAAGGCCCCAAAGGUCCCCGCGCCGAGAACGUCCGCCCCGUCUAAGGCGCGACGCACAAUUUAAAUCA